rnacentral:rRNA from 1 species
CUGGCUCAGAACGACGCUGGCGGCGCGUUUAAGCAUGCAAGUCGAGCGGCAAGGGCCUUCGGGCCCCUAGAGCGGCGGACGGGUGAGUAACACGUGGACAAUCUGCCCCCGGCCCGGGAUAGCCCAGGGAAACCUGGAUUAAUACCGGAUGAGACGGGACCCGCGAUGGCGGGAUCCGGGAAAGGCGCUGCGGCGCCGCCGGGGGAUGAGUCUGCGUCCCAUUAGCUAGACGGCGGGGUAACGGCCCACCGUGGCGACGAUGGGUAGCCGGCCUGAGAGGGUGGACGGCCACAUUGGAACUGAGACACGGUCCAGACUCCUACGGGAGGCAGCAGCUAAGAAUCUUCCGCAAUGGGCGAAAGCCUGACGGAGCCGACGCCGCGUGAACGAAGAAGGCCGUGAGGUUGUAAAGUUCUUUUCGGGAGGGGAACAACCGUGGCAGGGAAUGGCCGCGGGAUGACGUGAAUCCCGGAAUAAGCCCCGGCUAACUACGUGCCAGCCGCAGC